AUGGGGAUGAAGCGAUGCGUCGUCGUUGCUAGCAUCCUGCUGAUGCUUGCACUCCUCGUCGCCGGCGACGAGGUGGGCGCCAUUCUCCUGCCCAGCGAAGCCAAAGCCGAGGGCUUGCAGUUGCAGACGAAGCAGCCAUGGCCAUGGCGGCGCCCAAGAGGCCGUGGAAGUGCUGCGACCGGGCCUUGUGCACCAGGUCGCUCCCGCCGAUCCGCACCUGCAUGCAUGGAUGAGUUCUUCGAGUGCCCCUCCACCUGCAAGGCCUGCCGGCCGUCGAUCCAUGGCCCGUCCCGCCACGUCUGCCAAGACCAGUACGUCGGCGACCCCGGGCCCAUCUGCAGGCCGUGGGAGUGUUGCGACCUGCCUAGCUGCACCAGGUCGUACCCGCCGACGUGCCGCUGCAUGGACGAGGUUGACAAGUGUGCUCCCACCUGUAAGAGCUGUUUGCCGUCCAGGUCUCGCCCUUCCCGCCGCGUCUGCAUCGACAGCUACUUUGGACCCUUCCCUCCCGCAUGCACGCCCAAGGUUGUCGCCGCCGGCGGUAACUAG
rnacentral:rRNA from 1 species